GUGGGGAAUAUUGCGCAAUGGGGGAAACCCUGACGCAGCAACGCCGCGUGAAGGAUGAAGGUUUUCGGAUUGUAAACUUCUUUGAUUGGGGAAGAUAAUGACGGUACCCAAAAAACAAGCCACGGCUAACUACGUGCCAGCAGCCGCGGUAAUACGUAGGUGGCGAGCGUUGUCCGGAAUUACUGGGUGUAAAGGGCGUGUAGGCGGGAAUGCAAGUCAGAUGUGAAAUUCCGAGGCUUAACCUCGGCGCUGCAUCUGAAACUGUGUUUCUUGAGUGCUGGAGAGGAAAGCGGAAUUCCUAGUGUAGCGGUGAAAUGCGUAGAUAUUAGGAGGAACACCAGUGGCGAAGGCGGCUUUCUGGACAGUAACUGACGCUGAGGCGCGAAAGCGUGGGGAGCAAACAGGAUUAGAAACCCCAGUAGUCC
rnacentral:rRNA from 1 species